rnacentral:tRNA from 1 species
GGUGCUAUACUUUAAUUUAAAAGGUCUGUUUUGCAUGCAGAAAAUAAAGUGAUGUAUACUUUUGGUGCCA